UACGUAGGGACCAAGCGUUGUUCGGAAUUACUGGGCGUAAAGCGUGCGCAGGCGGUGAUGUAAGACCGAUGUGAAAUCCCCGGGCUUAACCUGGGAACUGCAUUGGUGACUGCAUUGCUGGAGUAUGGCAGAGGGGGGUGGAAUUCCACGUGUAGCAGUGAAAUGCGUAGAGAUGUGGAGGAACACCGAUGGCGAAGGCAGCCCCCUGGGCCAAUACUGACGCUCAUGCACGAAAGCGUGGGGAGCAAACAGG
rnacentral:rRNA from 1 species